rnacentral:rRNA from 1 species
AGUGAACGCUGGCGGUAGGCCUAACACAUGCAAGUCGAACGGCAGCACAGGAGAGCUUGCUCUCUGGGUGGCGAGUGGCGGACGGGUGAGGAAUACAUCGGAAUCUACUCUGUCGUGGGGGAUAACGUAGGGAAACUUACGCUAAUACCGCAUACGACCUACGGGUGAAAGCAGGGGGCCUUCGGGCCUUGCGCGAUUGAAUGAGCCGAUGUCGGAUUGGCUAGUUGGCGGGGUAAAGGCCCACCAAGGCGACGAUCCGUAGCUGGUCUGAGAGGAUGAUCAGCCACACUGGAACUGAGACACGGUCCAGACUCCUACGGGAGGCAGCAGUGGGGAAUAUUGGACAAUGGGCGCAAGCCUGAUCCAGCCAUACCGCGUGGGUGAAGAAGGCCUUCGGGUUGUAAAGCCCUUUUGUUGGGAAAGAAAUCCAGCUGGCUAAUACCCGGUUGGGAUGACGGUACCCAAAGAAUAAGCACCGGCUAACUUCGUGCCAGCCGCCGCUGUAA